GUACAAAACCUGGAGGGCUGACAGAUGAUUGGCUGAUGAGCGGUGCAGAGGGUGUGUAGGUGGGCGUGGCAGGUGUUUUGGAGGGAACAGCUGGCAGCAGAUGACAGGGAAUGAAAAGAAGGCCUUAGUGGAGAAGGCCUUAAAACCAACGGACAAAGCCCAGCACACCAAAGCAAGUCCUCAGGGUCUCUACUUCUCUGUGGACACCACACCAUGGCUAUGAGAGGGAGAGACACUGCGACAGAAAGUGGUGCCGAGAGCAGCUGAAAGUUUCUUCCAGUUCAAGUGGCCUCCGUUUCUCCAGAAGAAAUGUAAUUCAACAUUUGCAGUUCCUCACUUGCACCAGAGGAGCAGAUGGUCUGGCAUCACCCUGACAGUCCAGUGUCAACCUCUUUGAUUUGCCAUCCAUUUCAAGACCAAGGCUAGCUGUUAGCUCUUCAUUCAGACAGAAAGUGGCACAACAAAAUUAGACGUGCACAUUUUGGGGGCGCAACUGAACUGGGAUAUGACAACUUGCCAAGAUAUGCCUCAAUCAGAAAACAAGUUCCCACAGCAGGACUUCCUCUUGAGGGAUAGAGACCAUUAAAAUAUGACAGAACAACAAAUAAACACAUUUG